rnacentral:rRNA from 1 species
GACGAACGCUGGCGGCGUGCAUAACACAUGCAAGUCGAACGGUGAAGCUCCAGCUUGCUGGAGUGGAUCAGUGGCGAACGGGUGAGUAACACGUGAGCAACCUGCCCCUGACUCUGGAAUAAGCGCUGGAAACGGCGUCUAAUACUGGAUACGAGAAGGGUCCGCAUGGGCACUUUCUGGAAAGUUUUUCGGUUGGGGAUGGGCUCGCGGCCUAUCAGCUUGUUGGUGAGGUAAUGGCUCACCAAGGCGACGACGGGUAGCCGGCCUGAGAGGGCGACCGGCCACACUGGGACUGAGACACGGCCCAGACUCCUACGGGAGGCAGCAGUGGGGAAUAUUGCACAAUGGGCGAAAGCCUGAUGCAGCGACGCCGCGUGAGGGAUGACGGCCUUCGGGUUGUAAACCUCUUUCAGCAGGGAAGAAGCGAAAGUGACGGUACCUGCAGAAGAAGCACCGGCUAACUACGUG